AUGUCUUUCAGUAGUAGAAUUUGACAUUAAAACUCAAAAUUUAGAAAAUGGUUUCUGUUCCUAAUUUCUGAUCUGGAUAAUAUAACAUAUCUGAAACUUCUAAAUAAUAAAUCAGCUUCUACCUUUAGUUUUAAAUUCUGUGUUGUGACAAUAAAAUUCAUUCAAGUUUCUUUUGCAUACUAACACACACAUCUGAAUUGCCUCCUUGACACAGAAAUUUUCUUCCUCUUUUUUCCUUUGUGAAGUGAUCAUAAUUCUUGCCUAUAUCAAUUUUAAUUCACUACCUGGGAAUUACCUCCAGGGAUUCCUAUUAUGAGUGCUGAUCCAACAAGGAGACCAUUGAGCCUUCAUAACUAAUCCUUUAGGAAUGGAAGUGUGGCAAAGGCUCAACAUAUACAAUUAUUUAGAACAAGGUUUGGUGCCAGUGCCUCAUGUCUUAUUUGAAAACUAUUAAGGUACUAGGAACAGAUCGUUAAAAAUUUAGGACACAUUUUAGUUUCAAAAGUUUCCAUCUGAUCCAACAUACUGUCUAGAUGCAGGCUUGUUACAUGUUCAACUUGAAUAUGAAAAAAAUAAGCAGAAUGGAAGAAGAGCCAAUGGCAAUAUUUUGAAAGCCAAGAAAAUAUGAAUCAGAAGAAGUAAUGCUCACACAAAAGUUUUUCUGGGCUAGUGUCUUCUACAAAUGCUGUGAUACAGUGUUUGCUGUCAUUAGACACCAUUUAUGCCAUGCCAACAUUCAUUCAGGCACCAAGAACAAAUGUCUAAUCUUUGAGUCACUACAGCUUACAUCACAAAGUUAGCAAGUUAAUGUGUUAUAUUAAUGGAAUAGAUAUUCACUAAGCUUUGGGUACUUAAGGGCAUGUUCAGGAACUUUUGUGACAUAUUAAGAUAUAGGAAGUGACAAUGCUAAACUUACAGUUUACUUUAAAGGAGAAAGUGUAUCUUCAUGGAAUAUAAUACAAGACAGAGCCAACCAGGAUGACAAAUAGCCCAGCAUUUAGGGACAGAGAAGAUAAGUUUGAAGACGGGAUGAAGUCGUCAAGAAAGUGAUGAAUUCGAGUUUCAUCUCUGGAGUAACUGCUGUAUACAAGAUAGGAGGAAUGUACACAAUGAGUAGAAAUGCUGUUGGAAUUGAUAUCUGAGGAACAAAAAGUUCAAAGAACUGUACAGAGGGGGUGACAAGGGUCUAUGGAAUAUUAGUGAGAAGGGAUGACUGAGCUUGAGGGGGGCAGGUCGACUUUGAACUUUAUUAUGGGUGUUUUAUAAAUAGUGCCUGAACCUUCCACUGUUUUAUAGAGGCCAGAGAAAUCGCCUUUUUAAUGGACUGCUGUAUUACAUAACACAGAGGCUGCAUGUCCUAUAUAUAAACAUUGGCCCAUAUGAAACAUUUUUAGGCACAUUAGUCUGGCAAUGUUUCUCUUAUGGCCUUAGAAAUGGAAGAAAAGACAGCUUGUUGAAGGAACUAUUAAAAAAAUCCAGGCAUUAGAAGUACGGGCCAAAACAAAACAUGGGAGAGGAAGGAAGGUUAAAAACUCUAAACUGAGCUUCUAAAUUUUCAGUUCAAGAAAGCAAAGCGCUAUCUCGUCAGCUUUGUCUGCUAGUUGUAUAGAUACUAUCCUUCUGCCCUUUAUACCAGGCUGCUUGUAGUCUGACCUGAUAUUCUUCUUGCUAGAAAAUGUAUUUUGAGAUUUCUCUCUACUCUUUUUAUCUUUAUUUCAAAGGAAUGACCCAGUGAUAUUUGUGAUGUGCCCACUCCUCCCUCCUGCCCCCUGAAGACUAUGAAUCUAGCCCUGGUGAUGAAACUAUAGCUAUCUAGAGGUGGUAGGAUGUUUCCUCUUUAGAUGUACUGCACCUAUUGGGAUGUAAAAAGUUAUGAUUUAAAUAUGAACCCCCCCACACACACACAACUGGCUUAUGUGUCAGACACUUGUUUCCCAUUUGGUGGCAUUAUUUUUAGAAGUACUGGAAAAAUGAAGAGAUGAACUAGGGUUGGAGGAAGUAGGUCACUGGGGGACAUGCCUGUGAGGAAUGUCUGUCCCUUCAGCCCCUCCUCCAUUGUCUCUGUUCCUGCAGUCUUGUGGUCCUCAUGUGAUCUUCAGCCUCACCAGAAUCAAUCAAUGGAGUCAGGAAUACUAAACUUAAAUCUCUGACCUGUGAGACAUAGGGUCAUUCCUGACUCUAAGCUGCUCUUUUUAUUCUUCAGACAUUUUGUUAAAAGCUGCACAAAAGUACAGGCAUUAUAAUUUAUCUCCACAAGGUUGAAUAUUCAAGGGUUUGUCCAUCUAAUUACCUGUGUUGGCAUAGAAACCUGAUUUUUAUGGGUGGCUUUAACUCAGCCAUUUACUGAUUUACCAUUAUGCCUGAAUGUUCUUAUUUGUACAUCAGCGUAAUAAAGCACUUUAUGGAAAUUGAAAAUGCAUUUAUGAAUGUGGAGUAUUUUACAUAGGGUCACAAGCAUUUUAAGUGUUCUAAGCAUUCAAUAAGUGUCACUAAUUAAAGAGAGGAUUGAUGAGCUGGACACAUGGCACAGAGUCCUUGCUCCUCUAGAAAACAACACCAGCUUAGUUUCCAGAAGCCAUAUCAGGUGACCAUCCAUAACUCCAACUCCUAGUGAUCUAACACCUGCCUUCUUCUGGACUCCUUGGGCACUGGUACACACAUACAUAUACAAAUAAAAGUAAAAAUUAAAAACAAAGAUUUUUGGUAGAGAAUGAAUUCUGAAAAUGUUUACUAGCUUGCUUUUCUGUGAAUGAUUUUGAUACUAUAUAAUCCCAACUGCAGUUUAUGAUUACACAAUCAUAGAAAAUCAAAUGAGAUUUGAUUUCUAGAUUUUUUUAAAAGUUAAGAUAUUUUGAUUACUAUAGUUAAAAUGACUUGUCAAUAUCACUUCAUUUUUAUUUAAUGAGGUAGAGCAUUCAUUUACCUUAAAACUAUGGAAGGAUGUAAUUUGAUUCCAUUAAUAAAAUAUUUUUGAAAUCUCUGUGCCAUUUUAAAAAAAAUGUAGAAUGGGAUAGAGAGUUAUUCUUUAUUGGAGUUGUGACUUUAUUGAAGGUGGUCAAUGACACCGUGGAUGACUACAUACCCAUAAACAUAGGGGCAGGAUUACCUGAAUUUAGGGAGUUAUAAACACACACACACAUACACAAACACACACACACCAUAAAUAAAUAAAGAGGGGACAUGAAUCUGGGAGGAACAUAGUGAGUGUGGCAAUAGAAGCUAGAUGGCAAUAAUGUGGAGGAUCUUUACUUCAAAGAAAAAAUUAUUAAAAGUGAAUUGCAGAUGGGCAGUGGUGGCACAGGCCUUUAAUCCCAGUACUAGGGAGAUAGAGGCAGGCAGAUCUCUAUGAGUCCCAGGUUAGUUUGGUCUACAGACUGAAUUGUAUGGGAGCCAAUGCAACCUUGUCUCAAACAAAACAAAACAAAACAAAACAAAACAAGACAAGACAAGACAAGACAAAACAAAACAAAACAAAACAAAACAAAAACAAACAUAAAAGUGAGUUUUAGAGUUAAAAGCUGUAAUGCCAAUAACACAAACCAUUUAAACUUUGUAAAUUCAUAGUGUUGUAUUUUUAAAAAAUAUCUAAAAAGCCAUGACAUUUACCUUCAAAAAAAAAAAAAAAAACAAAGCAAAACAAAACAAAACUACUCUCUGUGUGUAUGUACAUGUAUAAAUACAAAUACUUCAUUUCCAUAGGAGAGUGUGAGCGCCCGACUCGCCAGCAAAGCAGACGCCACAACAGGAUCCUUCUACACACGUUUAUUGGGAAAGCUUGAUUGCAGAGGUGAAAAGACCCCGAGCCCAGAACUGGUGCUGCUUAUAUAGGCCUAGGAGAGGCAUGUCUCACAACCGGAUUCAUUAUGCAUUUACUACCUCAUUUACAUAUCUACAUCCGAUUGGUUAUGCUCUCAGAACCUCACAGAACCUCAUUAACAUGCCUCAUUUACAUAUCUACACCUGAUUGGUUAUGCUCUCAGUACCUCACAGAGCCUCAUUAACAUGCCCGGGCCAGGCAGUGACUCGGCAAAAAACUUUACUGCACAUUGGUUGUUUACCCAAACUUAUAUGUGGUGGCCAGCGGUAGCCAGCGCCACCUUGUAAUGGCAUAUGUGGCUUCCCACAUCUCCCCCUUUUUGUUUUAAUAAAAUGAAGCUGGACUAGGCCUGUGCAAUUAUGUCCAUCUGCCGUGGCUCCUGUUUUAGGUCGUUCCUCUAGUGUCACAGCCUUACCCGUCAUAGGGUAACCCUAUCGCCACAGGGGCCUCGUGUCUUAGGUUGGUCUGUGCAUGAGGAAAGUUGCCCGUCUAUGGAAACCACAGCACUGUGUGACGGUAACUGCUAACUGGCCUAGGGUGAACUCUACAAAGGAGGCCAGCCAAGUUUUAGAUAAACAAACUUGAGGGGAGGAGCCGUUUUCAAUGGCUAAGAGUGCCUGAGUUAUAAUCACCUUGUCACGUUUUUUGUGGGGUUCUGAAUUUGCAAACCAACCAAAGCAUGAACACCAGUCCACAGCAUAUGGCAGCACCAAACAAAAUCACUCCCACCCAUUCCUUAAAGUAAGAAAAUGCAGAGGUAAGCCAAAAGGUAAGCAAUGCCUCAGAUGUUUUUUUCUGCUAUCUGACUUAUGGUGUCAGCAGUAUUAACUUUAUUGGCCAUAGCAAUUCCUGCAGUAACCACUGAUGUUGUGGACACCACAAUGGCUGUAACAAUGGCAGCUGUGAUUCCAAAACCUCUCUUAUGCCAAACAAGACUCAUUAUUGGGAACUUCUCUGGAUCUGCCUCAACAGGCACAGGGACAAAGGUUGGUAGAUGUACCACUAAGGCUAGGAAUUUGGUUCCAUUCCAGCAUUGAGUCAAAAAACAAGUGACAUUUGUACAAUCUAACCAUUCUGUAUUAUUUUGAAAUUCAGCCAAUAUAAAGAAACAUGGAGGAUUAACACAAACUUCUACUUGAGAAGUAGUCAUAUUUCUGAUAACUCUAUUAGAUGUCACAUUAUCUAAAUGAGCAGAGGUAUUGGAAAGUGUGGCAGAAACAUUCAAUAUCUCAUGAAAGGUUCCUGUCAGCAAUGCAAAGGCUGACAAACUGGUACUAGCACCUGCCUCAUUACUUAAAAUCCAUUGGUAAUAUGGCCAAAUAUUUUAUUUCCCUGUAGCAUCUCCUUUAUCAUUCAUUACAGCAAAAUCUAAUGGAGUUGACAAAACAAAACCCUUUGCUAUUUCUUUCCGAGGAAAAAUUUUUGAUUAACAAGGUGAAAAAACUAUAGGAAAUGCGAGGUCCGGAUGACACCAAGGCAUGUUGUGUAUAGCAGUAGCAUUGCCAACAGGCCAUCGUGAUCUUUUGGGAAUAGUCACAUUUCCCUUUAUCAUAGUAGUGGUGAUGUUUAUAGGUGAAGUUACAUUAUUUCCAACAUCACCUGAGCCUGAUUGCGCUCCUUGAACAACUUGGGUU
rnacentral:lncRNA from 1 species